rnacentral:rRNA from 1 species
AAUAAUUGACCCUCGGAUCCAGG